UACAGAGGUCUCAAGCGUUGUUCGGAUUCAUUGGGCGUAAAGGGUGCGUAGGCGGCGCGGUAAGUCGGGUGUGAAAUCUCGAGGCUUAACUCCGAGACUGCAUUCGAUACUGCCGUGCUUGAGGACUGGAGAGGAGACUGGAAUUUACGGUGUAGCGGUGAAAUGCGUAGAUAUCGUAAGGAAGACCAGUGGCGAAGGCGGGUCUCUGGACAGUUCCUGACGCUGAGGCACGAAGGUCAGGGGAGCAAACGGG
rnacentral:rRNA from 1 species